GAUUAACGCUGGCGGCGUGCAUAACACAUGCAAGUCGAACGAUGAAACUUAACUGAUUUCUUCGGAAUGAAAUUAAGUGGAUUAGUGGCGGACGGGUGAGUAACGCGUGAGUAACCUGCCUUAGAGAAGGGGAUAGCCUUUGGAAACGAAGAAUAAUACCCUAUGAUAUGAUAGCAUCGCAUGAUAUUAUCAUCAAAGAUUUAUCGCUCUAAGAUGGACUUGCGUCUGAUUAGUUAGUGGUGAGGUAACGGCCCACCAAGACAGCGAUCAGUAGCCGGCUUGAGAGAGUGUACGGCCACAUUGGGACUGAGACACGGCCCAGACUCCUACGGGAGCAGCAGGUGGGAAUUUGCACAAUGGGGAAACCCUGAUGCAGCGACGCCGCGUGAUUUAGAAGG
rnacentral:rRNA from 1 species